AGGUAGAAUUGGGAUCGUGAUACUAAAAUUGGAACGAUACAGAGAAGAUUAGCAUGGCCCCUGCGCAGUCUAAAUCUUUAUUAAUAAAAUGUUUAACAUCCAU